rnacentral:rRNA from 1 species
UACCCUGGAGUGGGGGAUAACGCCGCGAAAGCGGCGCUAAUACCGCAUAUGCUCUGAGGAGGAAAGUGGGGGACCUGCGAGGGCCUCACGCUCUGGGAGUGGCCGAUGUCCGAUUAGCUAGUUGGUGGGGUAAAGGCUUACCAAGGCGACGAUCGGUAGCUGGUCUGAGAGGAUGAUCAGCCACACUGGGACUGAGACACGGCCCAGACUCCUACGGGAGGCAGCAGUGGGGAAUUUUGGACAAUGGGGGCAACCCUGAUCCAGCCAUGCCGCGUGAGUGAAGAAGGCCUUCGGGUUGUAAAGCUCUUUUGGUCGGGAAGAAAGGGCUCUGCUUAAUAGGUGGGGUCUAUGACGGUACCGGCAGAAUAAGCACCGGCUAACUACGUGCCAGCAGCCGCGGUAAUACGUAGGGUGCGAGCGUUAAUCGGAAUUACUGGGCGUAAAGCGUGCGCAGGCGGUUCGUUAAGUCUGAUGUGAAAGCCCCGGGCUCAACCUGGGAAUGGCAUUGGAAACUGGCGGGCUGGAGUAUGGCAGAGGGGGGUGGAAUUCCACGUGUAGCAGUGAAAUGCGUAGAGAUGUGGAGGAACACCGAUGACGAAGGCAGCCCCCUGGGCCAAUACUGACGCUCAGGCACGAAAGCGUGGGGAGCAAACAGGAUUAGAUACCCUGGUAGUCCACGCCCUAAACGAUGAUCACUGGGUGUUGGGGAAGCGAUUCCUUGGUACCGUAGCUAACGCGUGAAGUGAUCCGCCUGGGGAGUACGGUCGCAAGAUUAAAACUCAAAGGAAUUGACGGGGACCCGCACAAGCGGUGGAUGAUGUGGAUUAAUUCGAUGCAACACGAAGAACCUUACCUGGGCUUGACAUGGUCGUAGUAGUGAACCGAAAGGGGAACGAGCCUUCGGGCAGCGAUCACAGGUGCUGCAAGGCUGUCGUCAGCUCGUGUCGUGAGAUGUUGGGUUAAGUCCCGCAACGAGCGCAACCCUCGCUACUAGUUAAAUCUGUCUAGUGGGACUGCCGGAGUCAAACCGGAGGAAGGUGGGGAUGACGUCAAGUCAGCAUGGCCUUUAUGUCCAGGGCUACACACACGCUACAAUGGCCGGUUCAAUGGGUCGCCAAGCCGCGAGGCGGAGCUAAUCCCAUCAAAGCCGGUCUCAGUUCGGAUUGUAGGCUGCAACCCGCCUACAUGAAGUCGGAGUUGCUAGUAACCGCAGGUCAGCUAUACUGCGGUGAAUACGUUCCCGGGCCUUGUACACACCGCCCGUCACGUCAUGGGAGCUGGUAACACCUGAAGCCGGUGAGCUAACCGUAAGGAGGCAGCUGUCGAAGGUGGGGCCGGUGACUGGGACGAAGUCGUAACAAGGUA